UGAUGAACGCUAGCUACAGGCUUAACACACGCAAGUCGAGGGGCAUCAGGAAGAAAGCUUGCUUUCUUUGCUGGCGACCGGCGCACGGGUGAGUAACACGUAUCCAACCUGCCCUUUACUCGGGGAUAGCCUUUCGAAAGAAAGAUUAAUACCCGAUAGCAUAAUGAUUCCGCAUGGUUUCAUUAUUAAAGGAUUCCGGUAAAGGAUGGGGAUGCGUUCCAUUAGGUUGUUGGUGAGGUAACGGCCCACCAAGCCUUCGAUGGAUAGGGGUUCUGAGAGGAAGGUCCCCCACAUUGGAACUGAGACACGGUCCAAACUCCUACGGGAGGCAGCAGUGAGGAAUAUUGGUCAAUGGGCGCUAGCCUGAACCAGCCAAGUAGCGUGAAGGAUGAAGGCUCUAUGGGUCGUAAACUUCUUUUAUAUAAGAAUAAAGUGCAGUAUGUAUACUGUUUUGUAUGUAUUAUAUGAAUAAGGAUCGGCUAACUCCGUGCCAGCAGCCGCGGUAAUACGGAGGAUCCGAGCGUUAUCCGGAUUUAUUGGGUUUAAAGGGAGCGUAGGUGGACUGGUAAGUCAGUUGUGAAAGUUUGCGGCUCAACCGUAAAAUUGCAGUUGAUACUGUCAGUCUUGAGUACAGUAGAGGUGGGCGGAAUUCGUGGUGUAGCGGUGAAAUGCUUAGAUAUCACGAAGAACUCCGAUUGCGAAGGCAGCUCACUGGACUGCAACUGACACUGAUGCUCGAAAGUGUGGGUAUCAAACAGGAUUAGAUACCCUGGUAGUCCACACAGUAAACGAUGAAUACUCGCUGUUUGCGAUAUACAGUAAGCGGCCAAGCGAAAGCAUUAAGUAUUCCACCUGGGGAGUACGCCGGCAACGGUGAAACUCAAAGGAAUUGACGGGGGCCCGCACAAGCGGAGGAACAUGUGGUUUAAUUCGAUGAUACGCGAGGAACCUUACCCGGGCUUAAAUUGCAGUGGAAUGAUGUGGAAACAUGUCAGUGAGCAAUCACCGCUGUGAAGGUGCUGCAUGGUUGUCGUCAGCUCGUGCCGUGAGGUGUCGGCUUAAGUGCCAUAACGAGCGCAACCCUUAUCUUUAGUUACUAACAGGUUAUGCUGAGGACUCUAGAGAGACUGCCGUCGUAAGAUGCGAGGAGGGUGGGGAUGACGUCAAAUCAGCACGGCCCUUACGUCCGGGGCUACACACGUGUUACAAUGGGGGGUACAGAAGGCAGCUAGCGGGUGACCGUAUGCUAAUCCCAAAAUCCUCUCUCAGUUCGGAUCGAAGUCUGCAACCCGACUUCGUGAAGCUGGAUUCGCUAGUAAUCGCGCAUCAGCCACGGCGCGGUGAAUACGUUCCCGGGCCUUGUACACACCGCCCGUCAAGCCAUGGGAGCCGGGGGUACCUGAAGUACGUAACCGCAAGGAUCGUCCUAGGGUAAAACUG
rnacentral:rRNA from 1 species